UACGGGAGAAAGGGGGCUUCGGCUCCCGCUAUUGGAUGAUCCUAUGUCGGAUUAACUAUUUGGUAAGGUAAUGGCUUACUUAGGCAACGAUCCGUAUCUGGUCUGAUAUGAUGAUCAACCACAUCGGGACUGACACACUGUCCGAAUUCCUACGGGAGGCAUCAUUGGUUAAUAUUGGACUGGGGGGGCAACCCUGAUCCAGACAUGCCGCGUGUGUGAAGAAGGCCCUCGGGUUGUAAAGCACUUUCCGCGAAGAAGAACUCUUAUCGGUUGAUACCGGGUAGGAGGACAUCACUCGCAUAAGAUGCACCGGCUAACUCCGUGCCGGCAGCCGUGUAGAUACGGAGGGUGCAAGCGUUAAUCGGAAUUACUGGGCGUAAAGCGCGCGUAGGUGGCUUGAUAAGCCGGUUGUGAAAGCCCCGGGCUCAACCUGGGAACGGCAUCCGGAACUGUCAGGCUAGAGUGCAGGAGAGGAAGGUAGAAUUCCCGGUGUAGCGGUGAAAUGCGUAGAGAUCGGGAGGAAUACCAGUGGCGAAGGCGGCCUUCUGGACUGACACUGACACUGAGGUGCGAAAGCGUGGGUAGCAAACAGGAUUAGAUACCCUGGUAGUCCACGCCGUAAACGAUGUCGACCAGCCGUUGGGUGCCUAGAGCACUUUGUGGCGAAGUUAACGCGAUAAGUCGACCGCCUGGGGAGUACGGCCGCAAGGUUAAAACUCAAAUGAAUUGACGGGGGCCCGCACAAGCGGUGGAGCAUGUGGUUUAAUUCGAUGCAACGCGAAGAACCUUACCUACCCUUGACAUCUACAGAAGCCGGAAGAGAUUCUGGUGUGCCUUCGGGAACUGUAAGACAGGUGCUGCAUGGCUGUCGUCAGCUCGUGUUGUGAAAUGUUGGGUUAAGUCCCGUAACGAGCGCAACCCUUGUCCUUAUUUGCCAGCGAGUAAUGUCGGGAACUCUAAGGAGACUGCCGGUGACAAACCGGAGGAAGGUGGGGACGACGUCAAGUCAUCAUGGCCCUUACGGGUAGGUAUACACACGUGCUACAAUGGCCGGUACAAAGGGCUGCGAGCUCGCGAGAGUCAGCGAAUCCCUUAAAGCCGGUCUCAGUCCGGAUCGGAGUCUGCAACUCGACUCCGUGAAGUCGGAAUCGCUCGUAAUCGUGAAUCAGAAUGUCACGGUGAAUACGUUCCCGGGCCUUGUACACACCGCCCGUCACACCAUGGGAGUGGACUGCACCAGAAGCUU
rnacentral:rRNA from 1 species